UACGGGGGGGAGCAAGCGUUGUUCGGAUUUACUGGGCGUAAAGGGCGCGUAGGCGGCCACCGCAAGUCGAUUGUGAAAUCUCCGGGCUUAACCCGGAAAGGUCAACCGAUACUGCGGGGCUAGAGUGCAGAAGGGGCAACUGGAAUUCUCGGUGUAGCGGUGAAAUGCGUAGAUAUCGUAAGGAAGACCAGUGGCGAAGGCGGAUCUCUGGACAGCUCCUGACGCUGAGGCGCGAAGGCUAGGGGAGCAAACGGG
rnacentral:rRNA from 1 species